rnacentral:rRNA from 1 species
ACGCGUGAGGAACCUGCCUCAAAGAGGGGGACAACAGUUGGAAACGACUGCUAAUACCGCAUAAGCCCACGGCUCGGCAUCGAGCAGAGGGAAAAGGAGUGAUCCGCUUUGAGAUGGCCUCGCGUCCGAUUAGCUAGUUGGUGAGGUAACGGCCCACCAAGGCAACGAUCGGUAGCCGGACUGAGAGGUUGAACGGCCACAUUGGGACUGAGACACGGCCCAG